AGACGUCUACAUUAGAUACCCCUGUAGUCCCAGCCGUAAACUAUGCGCGUUAGGUGUAUCGGUGACCACGAGUCACCGAGGUGCCGAAGGGAAACCGUGAAACGUGCCGCCUGGGAAGUACGGUCGCAAGGCUGAAACUUAAAGGGAAUUGGCGGGGAGCACCACAACGGGUGGAGCCUGCGGUUUAAUUGGACUCAACGCCGGGAAGCUCACCGGGAUAAGACAGCGGAAUGAUUGCCGGGCUGAAGACUCUGCAUGACUAGCUG
rnacentral:rRNA from 1 species